CCUGCGGCCUGCGGGGCUGGGCUGCGCGCGGGGGCAGGGAGGGAGGAAGGCAGGAGGAAGGAAGGCGGCGGCGGAGGGGCCGGGCCGGGCGGCGGAGCGCUGUGCGCUGACGGCUCCGUACGCGGGGGAGGGGAUGGAAGGGGGAGGGCGCGAGGCGAGACGCGGCGGCGGCGCCCGAGUCUCGCGGGGCCCUGGUCAAGAUGGCGGCGCGGGGCCCGGCCUAGCGCGGCGCUGAGGGCUCCGCCGUACCGCUCCCGCCCCCGCGCCCCGCGCCUGUCAGUCACACCGCCCGCCCCCAGCCCUGCGCGCGCGCGGGGGGGAGCUGCGCGCUGGCGGUUUCACGUCCGUUGGGCUCGAGCGGUCUCCAUUGUGACCGGCGGGCGGACCGCGAGAGACCCGGAUGAUGACGUCACGUGGCCGCUCGCUCGCUCUCGGUUCCCCUUCCCCGCUGUUGCUGCCGCCCGGCGGGGGCGGCGCCUCCCCAGGGCACGGCGGAGCGGCCGCGGGACGGCGGCACAAAGCGCGGAGGCUCCCGGCUGCCCGGCGGCAGUAGGGGGCUCGUAGGCCUCGGUCAAAGUCUCAUUUUAACAACGUCGUUCAAGAAUUUCAGAGCAGGAAGUGAAGGAUCCAGUCUCCAGCUGAAAACGCAGGAGGAAUUUAGGUCGCUGGGCUGGAAUUUGCUCCAAGGCUUGGUAACAGCCUUUGCUCUGUGCGCAGCAUAUAUCUGCUGGACCUCACCGUGACAAAGACCAAAAUACGGCUCGUCCCUGUGAGGGAGUGCCUGCUGUAAAAAGCCAGAGCUCAAAGCUAGCAAUGAUACGUCCUGUUAUUUCCCAUUUUAACAGAGUUAGUAGGGUUUUGCUAAUCACUGGGAUUAUUUGCGAAGGCAAUCUGAAGUAUGUCUUUGCACUAACCCCUCAGACAAAAUGAUGCAGCUGCUUCAUUGCUGUACAAAUGCAACAGUUUGCAUGCUGAGAGAGGGGUUGUGUGUGCAUUUUACUCACCAACAAUAAAGACAAACCAUAACUGGUGGAAAUCUGUGUCACUGUAAGCCUAUUGUAUUCAAUUUAGAAAUAUGUGUAAUCACAGAAAUAGCAGCCCUUUCAUCUUGGUGAUUUUCAUGCCUAUGAGAGUAUUAUUGUGGCCUCCUUGCUCCUAUUUUUUGGGCCUUGCUAAUUGCUUCAGGCUUUCCCUCCUAUUUCCAAUUUAUCCAUUUUGUUCUCCUGGGAAAUGCUUAAAAUUACUGCACCCGUAAUGCAUGUAACCUUCCUUGCCCUGAAGCUCCUGACUGAUGACUGACAGAGGCAUGGGUGAACAUCCGAUGGUUUCAGUUGUUUGUUGUUUGACAGGUCUCAAUCCCUAAAAAAUAAAAUGCUGUGGUUACUGAUGUUA